UACGGAGGGGACUAGCGUUGUUCGGAAUUACUGGGCGUAAAGCGCACGUAGGCGGAUUUGUAAGUCAGGGGUGAAAUCCCGGGGCUCAACCUCGGAACUGCCUUUGAUACUGGGAAGCUCGAGUCCGGAAGAGGUGAGUGGAACUCCGAGUGUAGAGGUGAAAUUCGUAGAUAUUCGGAGGAACACCAGUGGCGAAGGCGGCUCACUGGUCCGGUACUGACGCUGAGGUGCGAAAGCGUGGGGAGCAAACAGG
rnacentral:rRNA from 1 species